GCAGUGUGGAGGCGCUGAGGCUGCUGGAGGCGCGGGCCGGGCGGUGCGCACUGCGGGCGCAUCCCUGCCCCGGCGCCGUCCGUGCCCGCGGGACCUGACAGCCGGGUCAGAGCAUGGGGAAAUGAUUGAUGACUGACAGCUGCUGAAGCCCUACUCCUGUGCGGUGGAUGGACAGUGCUCCCUGGGGUCCCAGCUCCAACUACUGGCAUCUUGUCAAAGCAGCAGCCCAGGUGGCCACCACUGCCGAUCAGACUUAAUGGAUGAAGACAGGAAGGCUGGGCAGAGCCCUUCAGCUUCCGACUCUGGUUCAGUCACUGAAAUCCGCAAUAUCAUCUCUGUCAAGGUCAGGUCCUACUGCCACGAUGAAAAGGCUUCUGGGGAAGAAGAAAGAAACCUGCCCCAUGGGUGCCAGCCUGGAGGUCCACACUAGAGGUCCCUGCUGGGAGAUCCUCAGCCUGGAGGUUCCCAACCUGGGGGUCCGUGCUGGGAGGUCCCCAGUCUGGAGGUCCCCAACCUGGAGGUUCUUAACCUGGUGAUCCCCAACCAGAAGGUCCCUACUGGAAUGUCUCCAGCCUGGAGGUUCCCAACCUGGAGUUCCCUGCUGCGAGGUCCCCAGCCUGGAGGUGCCUGCCUGAAGGUCCCCAGCCUGGAGGCCCUGCUGGGAGGUCCCCAACCUGGAGGUACCUGCCCGAAGGUCCCCAGCCUGGAGGUACCUGCCUGAAGGUCCCCAGCCUGGAGGCCCUGCUGGGAGGUCCCAUCUGAAGGCUCCACCUGGUGGUGUCUUUCGUAACCCCAGUCCCCAGCUCUGCUGUAUCAGGACGUUACAAACGGCCUGAUUGCCCCCAAGAAAGUCGAGGGGUCCUGACCCCUGCACUCCUCCGUUUCACACAGCCUGGGGAGCCCAGAGGAGCAGGACAUCCAAGGCCCAGGCCGUCUGCAGGGGUGGUCAGCAGACGGCAGUGAUGGGCUGGUGUCUGCCCCUGAGAUCAGAGGUGAACAGGAAUGGGAGCCUCUGUUUCCUGCAGGUCCUCCCUGCUCGGGAGGUGGGUUCGGUAAGGGCUGGGUUUACUGUCAUUCAUUUCCUUACAUCAUCUUGGUCUUAGCUGUGUGAGACUAGCUGUCCCUGCAGUCUGGGAGGGGUUGGCCUGUUCCCCAACCCGCUACAGCCCCCUUGUGUGUGGUAUCCGCCAGACAUAUCUCGAUAGUGGGGGCUCCAGGUGGGGGCGCCGAGGGGCCCUUGGGUGGAGACGCAAGAUGGGGCAGCGGCUGGCGAGAAGCGAACCUAGGGGGCUCCUCUCUGGGGCCCAGGAAGAGUUCUUGGAGAGGCUGUCCUGGCUCUGACAGGAGAGCGGGCCUCCCCUUUGGUGGGCGUGCUGGGCGGGGCCCCAGGCUGCAGGAGGACUGUGAUGGGAGCAAGGGGUGCCCCCUCUCUCAGGGAGCCCCAGGAGGGCAGAGGCUGCAGCGCGUGUUCACAGGACGGGAGCAUGAGGGAAUGCACUCCGCGGCGUGGGAAGAAACAGUCGUGGGGACCAGGGCAUCGCACGCGGGGCCUGCCGCAUCCAUGCACUGCUGGGCCUGGUGCCCGUGUUCCCGCAGAGCAGCAGACACCACCACUCCGCCGGCCCUUGGAUCUCUCCUCAGUGGGAAGAGAGGCUGGGGACGGGCCGGCCACCUGCCGCCUCGCUGGACUUCUGCCCUGGGAUUCCUGAGACGAGAGCCGAGCGUCCUAAGCUGCCCUCGUCCAGGUGCCCCGUGGCCUCCCUCGGGAAACGCACUGUAGCUUGGCCUCCGGGCCGCGGUCAGUGCCUGCGGGCCUCUGGGUCCAGGCUGUGGGAACUGUCCACUUCCUGGGAGGGCAGGAGUGAGAGACCUGAGUGGGUGACCCCAGGCAGCCCCAGCCCCCCACACUCCAUCAGGAGAAGAGGGGUCAGGGCCACAGCCAACCAGUCUCCGCUUCCUGCUUGCUUCCCACCGCCUCUGCCCAUCUGGAAGCCCUGGCUGCAGUGGGGGCCCUCCUCGUGGUGAUGGGCCUGGAGGUUCUUGGCGGCCACUGGAGCUUCCUGCAGCCACUAGGCCUGCGCAGCCUCCCCUCUGCCCACAGGGCAGCCCCACGGCCACCUCCGCUCUGUGGUUUGCCUUCUUGGACUCAGGGCUUCACUGUUUUGAAAAGCCCGGGUGCUGCAGUGAGGACCCCGCUCCGCAUUUCUGCCGGGAGCUGUGAGCAGCCAGGCCAGCCUCCUCACGGUGCCAGGAAGCCUCUCCUUCUGGCCCAGAGCAGCAGCUGCCCCUUCCAGCAUUGACCGUGGGUGAUCAACAACCUGGCAUGGGGGCAGGAUUUUCCCUAUAGAACCAUUGAACAACACGGACCUGUCAGCUCAAGGUACCUUCUGGCUUUGCAGGUGGCUAGAGAUCCAUGCAACCACAGGUGGGCCUGGUUGGGCCCCUCCAAACCCUCACCCUCUUCCUCCCUCCCUUUCACUCCCCCCCCCCCGUUUUUUUUUUUUUUUUUUGAGACAGAGUCUCACUCUAUUGCCCAGGCUGGAGUGCAAUGGCGCGAUCUUGGCUUACUGCAACCUCUGCCCCCCGCGGGUUCAAGCAGUUCUGCCGCAGCCUCUCGGGUAGCUGGGAUUACAGACGUGCACCACCAUGCCCGGCUAAUUUUUGUAUUUUUAGUAGAGACGGGGUUUCACCAUGUUGGCCAGGCUGGUCUCGGACUCCUGACUCAGAUGAUCCACCCACCUCGGCCACCACGCCCGGACCACUCCCCAGUUCUUGACAAGUCUGCAGUUCCUGCACUGUCCUAGACUAUGGAACACCUGGGAGGGACAGAGAGCUUGUCCUGGGACCACCAGCUGGACGAGCCUAUCACCCACCCCCGAGGUAGAAGACCUGGGGCGCAGCCCUGAUCUAUUGAUUUUUUUUUUUGAGGGUCUCACUCUCAUCCAGGCUGGGGUACAGUGGUGUGAUCACAGCUCACUGCAGUCUCGAAUUCCUGGGCUCAAGCCAGCCUCCCACCUUGGCCUCCCAAAGCACUCAGAUUAACAUGUGUGAGCCAGUGCACCUGAGCUCCACCCUGAUUUACAUAAAGACCACACUCUGGGCUGGACCCCACCCGCCCGCGUGCACACCUCAGCUGGAGCCCACGCCAGGUGCCUGCUCCCACUGGGCAGGAAGUGCGGACCUCCGAGAGGCACAGGCUGGGCCUGCUGGCCAUGGGUGUGCCCAUCACGACUCCCUCGUCAUGUCUCCUCAUCACAUCUCCUCUCUGCUCGGGGCCAGGCUCUGAGACGCCACAGGCUGAUGGCCGGAGCCAGGCGGACUUUGAGUCUGGGUCUGAGAUGGCUCCACGUGUACAAUGCACACUGGUUUCAAAGCUGUGGAGUGAGAAGAAAGACGUGCUUUCGUUAGUCACUUUUUAUAUGGGUUACCUGUUGAAGGGGCAACCCCCUGUUCCUGUAGGGCCUCGGCUCUCACUUCCUGACUUGGACCCCACCCGCCAAGCCCUAGUGUGCGUGUCCUGGGCCUGUGCUUCCUGCCUGGUGGGAGCUGGUGCUUAGCCAGGGCUCAAUGGAGAGAGCAGAGAUGAUGGCAGGGGUAUGUGUGCACGCGUGUGUAUGCGUGCUCGUGUGAGUGGGGAUUUCUGCCUAGGGUGUGGGAACGUCUGAGCCCCGUGGGGACUUUGGGUCAUUAUUUAAAUUUGGGCUAAGUUCUACUAGGUCUUCUGUCACCUGCUGGAGUUAUUUUCUUUCUGCCACAUUUUAGAAAAUAAAAUGCACCGAACAAA